UUUGGUAUAUUAAUAAUGUAAUAUUAUUACAUUCUGUUCUGUAAUAAUAAUUAAUGCCUUCCUAAUAUGGCGUGAAUUUAACUCUCUGAGGCCCGAGUGCUACCCAGGAUUUGACAGGCUAGUGACAUUUCUGUUGUUUUAGGGAUUGAUUAUUAUUUCCUUUUGGAACAAAGUUGAACUAUGCAGAGAUAUGUUUUGUCCUGUGUGUGUGUGUGUGUGUGUGUGUGUGUGUGUGUGUGCAUAUUUCUGACUAAUUCUAAUUGGCAAUAAUUGACCAAUUAACUCUAUGAAUCACUGGAACUUUUCUACCUUUUUGGAUCUAUGAAACCGUUUUAUCUUAAAUUAGUAGAUGCUAUAUCGUGAAGAUGCCGUGUUCUGGAAAAUCAAGCUAUUUUGCUUCUAUAGUUCUUAAACAUGUCCAAGGGAUAUUACCAAUCACAGAAGCACAGAACUAUCCAGAGCAUUUCUGUGCUGUAGAGAUUUGCACUCAGAGGAGUGAAGGAAAAGAUUUUAGAGGCCAUGUGGUUGCCCAUUGCCAUCAUUUGUGUUGCCCAAAGAAGGGAAAGGACUGUGAAAUAGAAUUGCCAGUGGAAACUCUCUCUGGUCUUGUCAGCAAGCUUUUUACGAAAAACACAGUCCAUUCUUCCACUCCAGACCUUUUAACAGGAUAACAAUUGACCAACUGCCAGGAUUUAUUGGCCGGAAUAGAAACAGACAUCACCAUGUCAUAACACAGUCCUAAAUAGGAACUUCUACAUUCUUUCUAUGCAGGUUCUGCAUUUUUCAGGCAUUUGCCUUACUUCCCCACCAUGCGUAUCAAACGUAAAUUGAUAUGCUGAACCUACAGAGAUGUUUGAAGGCUUUUAUUUUUUCUUAUAUGCAUUUAGAAUUUUGCAAACAUAAUACAUGCCCAUUUAAAAAAAUAAAAUAUGGAAAAAUUUGUAAUAACAUUAGCUCCUUGCCCCAUCUUCUCCUACAUGUAAUUCUGUUUCCCAGAGACAACAGUUUUUUUUUUCCCUAAGUGUUUCUGUCUCAAACUUCUUUCAUACCUCAACUUCAUAAAUCUACAUGCUAUGUAUACUAUGCCACUAUUUCUUAAUUUUGCACUUUGGUGUAAUUUAUUGACUUUCUGAUGUAAUCGAUGGAGAUUUAGCAGUGUUAUGUCCUCCACACCAUUGCUACCCCCACCGUCACCCUCCAGCUUUGUUAUAGCACUGUUCUAGCAGUACUUUAUGACUUCUUGGCUAUUUGUGUAUCUACUGAUAAUAGACAGUAUCUCUAGGCUUCUCAGUCCAUAAAAGGACAAUAGUGAUUUAAACUAAUUUAAACUCUUGUUUUAAACUUUCUUCCUUGUUUCCAUUUCCUAAUUUACAUCACUUAUACUUUCACGUAUACACGUCAAGUUUAAAAGCAUUUGCAUUCUGUUCUACACCCAUAAUUAACACCUUUCUGAUGUAUACGUAGGUUGACUUUCAAGAGUUGAAAACGAACACAUUCUGGGCUGUGACUUUUUUUCUGGAUAACUUCACUAGUUAUCCCACCUCAUUCUACUUUUUGCCUCCUGUAACUUCAUUUAAAACUCUUAUUUGCUGAUAGUCCAUCUCCAGUUCUUUCUUUUUUGUGAUUCUAUGUUUUCUCUAUAUCUUUACUUUUGAAAAGAUCUAGAGAAGAAAAGAGGAUAAACAAAUGUGCUCAGUCCACCAUCUUGCACCACUCCUUUUGAAUUUGAUUUUCUUCCCGGUACAUGUGCAACAGAAGAAAUGUGUUGUACCAGUAAUUAUCUAGUUAGGCUUUCAUGUUUUCAGUAAUGUACUACUGAAACUAUGUUAUAUACAUAUGCAUAUACAUAUACAUACACAUAUACAUAUACAUAAUCAUUUCAUUUCUGCAGUUUAACAUUUUAUUACUGCUUUAAAUUUAGGAAGGAAAGUGGUUCUAAUUCAAAACUCUCUGAGAUAGCAAAUAGAGAAGGCAAACACAUGGUUUGGGAAAUUUGAAGAAGCAUGUAAGAACUGACCAUUGAUUUUAAUUCAGUCUUUUCACUCUGUUAACCUUAAAAAUAUUGAAAACAAAAGCACUUUCUUUUAAAGCAUUGGCAUGAUAUCUUGAUUCCUUAUUUUGUCUCCUUUUCCAAUCACAGUUUACAAUACACCUGGCAGGCAAUACCCCAUUUUGAUAUCUUCAUCUGCACUGCAGGAUAAGAUAGCAACAUGCUUUCCUUUUGCCUCUGCCUUCUGUAAAGUCUGGUUUACAGUUUUAAUAACUCCUUGGAACAAGUUACUGUACAACAUAAACAUAUAUUCCUGUUUAUUCAGAGUGACGGUUUUGUUAUUAUUGUAUUAUAAAAACAAUUGUGAUUCUAAAUAAAAUAUACCCGUAAAUUAAAACUCAGGGAUCAACUUAACUAUAAUAUAUACACAAUUUAAGGUCCCCAAAAUUUUAUUUCACAAAAUUCAUCUAGCCUGAAAUAGUUGCUUAUAACUCAGGCAAUGUCUGCAUGAUUCAUUUUUUAAGUACAUAAAAUUUAUAUCUCCCUGUUUUCUUACUCAUCUCUAGCAGGAUGAUCUUUUUGAAUAUUCUCAUUAUCCCUUUGUGAGCUCAGGGAGUGCCCUGAUGCCCCAGCCGGCCUCACUGCUUUGUCCUGGACUGAAAAUGGCCUUUGGAAAAGAUAACUUCAAAAAAAGAGAGAUAAUGCAGCUUAAUGGUGAAAGGGUUUGGCUUGGAGGCCAGGCAUUGAGUGCCAGUCCUGGCUUAAUACCUUUCUGGCUGGGUGACCUGGAACACUUGACUUAUUCUCUCAAAGCUUGUGAAAUGGGAAUAAUAAUAAUAAUAAUACUUACCUCAUAGAGACAUCAAGAGGCUAAAAUAAAAUAAUGCAUGGGAAAACAGCAAAAUGUUGACAUACUAAGUACACAUUAAUAUUGUUUAUUUUUAUUCUUACUAAUUUGACUUGUUAAUGAUUCAAAAGUAUUAAUCCUGUGUAAGCACACAGAAAUACCUACAUAUGAACUUGUCCUUAAGUUUUUGAGGAUCUAAAAUGCAUUCUGAGGGAGCUUUUCAGUAUGAGGAACUUUUCCUUAUUUCACUUUAGAGGUAUGAUUUGUAUUUUAGGAAUUGUUUGCACAGUAUGCAGACAGAAAUACUGAGCCCAACUUUUACUUUUUCUUCAAGUAGGACGUCAAGUUUGUAUAUAGUUUAUUCAUAUCUAAAUCCCUGUUUUUAUUAAGUUGCCUUCAGUGUCUUGACAUAAAGAUUAGUUUCAUAAAACUUGAGCUGUCUAGUUAAACCUGUUUAAUGUUUACUUUGCAUAGCAAGCAAAUCCCUAUAUUUCUAAGAGGGAAGUUUGUGUGCCCCUAACUAGGCAAAGAAGAAAAGAUGAGUUAGGGGUAGGGGAAAUACUAAAGACUCGAUUUUAUUAUUAUUAUUAUAUUAAUUAUUUAAAAAGAGUUUUAAAAUUUUGAUAGCUUUUGGGGAACAAGUGAUUUUUGGUUACAUGGAUGAAUUGUAUAGUGGUGAAAUCUGAGAUUUUAGUGUACCUGCCACCUGAACAGUGUAUGUGGUAAUCAAUAUGUAAUUUUCUUCCCUCGCCCUCCUCUUACCCUCCCUCUUCUGAGUCUCCAAUGGCCAUUAUACCACUCUGUCUGCCUUUGCGUACCCAUAACUUAAAGACUCGAUUUUAGUCCUGACUCUUCUGCCAGCUUUCUUAAGUCAGUUCGUGAACUGACUUAAAUCAAUUCUUGUACACUUAUCCUGUACUAUGUUUCAGGAACUGAAGUAGAGAGACAAAUAAAAUCCCUUUCCUUAGAAAACACACACAGCUUGGUUUGGAAGGCUGGUAAGUACAAUCCAGUGUCUGUGACAAUACGUAAACAAUGUGACAAUACACACAUCACCAAAAGGGGGUUUGGGACAGGAUGCUUAUGUCCUGGAGGAAGGGAUAUCCUACUAUAUAUAUAAGACACCUUGGCAGAGGUGGAUGCAAGUUUAGUGGGGUCUGAAGCUUAUACAAAUUUUUUGUGUAUGUGGGGAGAGAGGGAGUGGUUUAAAAUAAAAUGAAAAAAAUUAAGUACAUGGCUUUGGAAGAGAAUGGUGGUGAAGUGCCCUGCUGUCUUAGCUUCCUUAGCUUCAGGGUAAAUCCCCCAUCAUCUCCCAGGGGAAAAAGUAGAAAAUGUUCUGGGAGUCAGAGUUUGAGAAAAAAACUGCCAUCUAGGAACUUUCCAGUACAGCUAGCAGUACAGAGUGUCAGUGCUGAAGGGAGACGUCAUCAGAGGGAGACGUAAGGAGGGACAGGAUCUUGAAGGAUCUAACAUAACUAGGACUUAGACGAUCUUUCCUCCAGAAUUCUAUCUGAAUAUUACAGGAAACAACUGAGAUCAUCUCAGCCUCUCCUGAACUGUGACCAACUGGCUUACUCAAGGGACUGGAUCUGCUGUCCCGACAUGAUGGCAAGCUGCAGCACAUCAUGCAGAUUAAAGUUCAGCCUGCCUCAGACUCAGGAUAAAAACACAUUUGGGACAGUCUCGCUCAGCCUCAUUGCAGAGACAAGAAAUGUAUGAAAAGAAAGUACAGAGAAAAAAAAAGAAUGGAAUACACAUGAAUGCCGAACCACAUUGGAUAUGUAGCUGUUCAUGAAGAUAUUCCAGGGAAGGCCUAUCUAGUAGAGCCUCAAAUCUAUUUGAAUACAAAUGGCACUCAUUAAGGACAUCUGUCUUCUGUAAUGUCUACACAAAGUCUUACCGGGGUCUUCUUGGCUCUUAUUGACGGCUGAUGAAGGAGGGGUUUAUAAAGAAAACAAGCCAAAACCUGAAUAACUUGCUACUGAGAGCAGCACACAUAUUUUCCCAAAGUGCAAAGUUGAGAAGAAGUACAAAGCUUUGUUAAUAUUCUGAACAGUACUGCUUAGUAUGAUCUAAUUGAUGGAUUUUCCAUGGACUCCCUAGAGACUGAAAAAGGUUUGACUGUCAGGAAACUUUUCUUGUGUUUAUUCUUCAAUUUUCCUUUUCCUACUUUCCAAUCAUCAUUCCCUAUUAACAUCCCUUGAUGGGUCACCUUAAGUGAUUAUUCUUUUUAAUGGCAUUUAUAACGUUUAAUAUUUCCCUGUUAAUUUCUAUUCCGACAAAGUACAUAUUUUUUUAAUCUUCACUCAUAACAUUAAUAAAUUUUUCCAACAUUUUAAAGCUCAGUUAACAUUUCCUUAUAUAUGCCUCUGUCUUUAAAAUAUGAGAUCUGAAUGUACUGGUAUCACUAGAAUUAUCUACAGAGUUCUAAUGUGAUGGAAAUUGUGCUACAAAAAUUUGUUCUUACAUAAUUUGCUUCAACGGAAUUCCUCCUGAACUAAAUACUUAGUCUUUACAUUCUUUAAAAUAACUAAAAUUUCCCAGAGGAAAGUCUGAAUUGUUCAUUUAACCUUGUGUGAUGUGUGCUGUGUGUAGCUGAAACAGCAAAGUGGACACACCUGCACCCUUAACAUUUUUGACUUUUUUUUUUUUUUUUUUAAAGAAUCAAGUUUCGUUUUUGUCACCCAAGCUGGAGUGCAGUGGUACAAUCUCCGGUCACUGCAACCUCCGCCUCCCGGGUUCAAGCGACUCUCCUGCCUCAGCCUCCCAAGUGGCUGGGAUUACAUGUGUGCACCACAAAGCCUGGGUAUUUUUUUUUUUUCAUUUUUAGUAGAGACGUGGUUUCACUAUGUUGGGCAGGCUGGUCUUGAACUCCUGAACUCAGGUGAUCCUUCCCCGCUAGGCCUCCCAAAGUGCUGGAAUUUCAGGCCUGAGCCACAGCACCUGGCCAACUGUGACUCAUUUUUAAAGCGGUUUGGCAAUAAUGCUAUAUACGUAUAAUGGUUUUGAAUAAAAUAUACAACUAUACAUGGCCUGUUAUCUUCUUAUUUUAGACAGAAUAAUCUUAGUCUUGUACUUUCAUGUAUUAGGCUGAUAGCCAUGAGAUUUGGGGAGGAAAAAAAUAGGAUAAAAUAGGACUCACUCAUUUCAAGAAAUAGAGUUAGUUUUCUAUGCAAGCAUUUUCUCCCCUUCUCCUUAGCCCACCAAAGUGGUAAAUGAGACUUCCAGCCAUGAGGCUGUUUGCACCUCUGUCUGGGAGGAGACUUCUGGAGCUUUGGUUGCUGCUAAUGACUUGGAGGGGCUUUGAAGGCCCCCUUGAAGAUGUCACGCAUGACCUCUGGACCCUUGGUAUCUUUCAAGAAUCCUUAUGAGAUACUAACUCAUUUCGUUUAUAAUAGGUGAAAACAGAUCAUGUAUUUUUAAACCAGAUAAUGCCUAAGUUAUAUUACUCUAGAAUUCAUAGAAAAAAUAAAAUAGCCGAGAUCUUUAAAAAGACUGUAAUGUGGUAUUAGUGGACUGUCUUUUUUUUUGUUUAUGGAGAGAAAAAAAUUAUUUGUAAGUUUUUUUUU
rnacentral:lncRNA from 1 species